AUCUCAAAUAAAUGUUUUAAAAAUAGACUAUCCAUUAAUUAGAAAAUUAUGUUUUAAUUGUUAUGAAUUCAAGUAAAGAGUCUUUAGAUGAUGCCUUUCAAAAGAUGGUUAUUCAGAUGAAGCCUCACGUUUUGCAGAAUACAAAUGUAAAAGAAAGUCGUUUCAUAAGAGCUUGGAUUAAAAAACUUUGUAAUGAAGCUAUAUACUCAAUUGCAGAAAGGAAAAAUCGUAAUCUUUAUGCAUUAUUGCUGUUAACAAUGUUGCAUGAUGGUAGUCUAGAUGAACCAUUUACAACACUACCUACAGAUGGAGUGCUUCCAACUAUACCUGCUUAUAUUGUUGAUCAUCUUAAUUCAAUUGAUGUUAAUAAAAAGAAAAUAGGUCUUGAACCAAGCUGGCUUCAUGAUGAUUCCCUUCUACAAGAUUCACUAUUAUCUAUUGAAAACAAUUUGUUAGUUUACAAAGAUAUUUUUUCACCACAGAAACGAGAAAGAUUUAUGUUAUCCAGUCAUUUUUUGCUGAAAAAAAAUCAACUAAAUGAAAAUGUUAAACAUGUUGGAGUGUUCAAGUCAAAGUUUUCCAAUCCUAAUAAUGAAAAUGAAUCAAAUUCUUUUUCUGAUGAAGACUUGGAAAUAAAUAAAAUUAAAACUGAAUAUCAUGUCAGAAACAGAAAGAAAAGCUCCAAAAUCAAUGCUUUGCAUAAUACUGAGACAGGAACAGAAGCUAGUGCAUUAAAGAUACACAAAACUAAUUUGGAAGCACAAUAUCAACAUGAUCAAAUUGUUAAAAAGGUUGUUGAACAAAAAAAUGAUGAAAUAACCGAUGUUAAGAAAUUUUAUGAAGCUAAAAUUGAAGGACUUGAAAAAGUCAACAAAGGUCUGGAAAGCAAAAUUAGUACUUUAAAUGAAAAGUUGUCUACUCUAAAAUCUGCAAAUAGACAUGCUAAUGAGAGUUUAAAAAAAUCAGAAGAAAAAGCUGCUGAAACAGAAAAAGAGUUUGAAAAAAUUUUAUGUGAUAAACUCAGUGGCUUCGAAUUAGAAAUGUACAAGUUGCAAUGCUCACACCGGGAAAAUAUUCACCAACUUUUUAAUGAAGCUGAGGCCAAAAUAAACUCAAUUAAAUAUAUAAUGGAGAAAGAUAGCAGUCUUCUAAAAGAAGAAAUCAAAAAGUGCAAUGAGCGUCUUAUUAGUCAAACAAAAUGUAAUGAAACUAUCGAAAGAGAAAAUUACAAAUAUAGACAUGAACAGCAAGAAUAUAAAGACAUAAUUGAAAAGCAAAGAAUUCAAAUUGAAGAAUAUAAUAUCAAGCUUCAACAACAAAAAAAUCAAGCUCUGGAACUAGAGAAACUACAUCAAAAGUUUAUCGAUGAACUAAAUACAAAAAAUGAGCAUAUUUUAAAUUUACAAAAGGAACAGGAUCUGCAAAAUUUAAAAAAAUCAUCAGCAAUAUUAUCUUUGGAGGCAGAAUUAGUCCUGCUAAAAGAAACAAUAGAAUUAAUGAAGUCUAAUGAAAAAGAGACAAAGGUUUCUACAAAUCAAGAAAUUGUCAAAUUACAAUCUGCACAUAAACAACAGAUGCUUCUAAUAAAAAAUGAAUUAGAAAAUAAACUGUUAGAGUACGAAAAUAAACUAAAGAAAAGUGAUUUAUUAAUAAUUGAAAAAGAUGAAGAAAUCAAGAGGCUUCUUACAAAAAUUGAUUCUCAUGUCAAUGAAAGUAAUGAAGCUAUUGAAAGUUUUAAAAAAAAAGCAGAAGAAGAUUCAACUAAUAUGUUUAAAGAACUGUCAAUACAAUUAGAGGUUUUGCAAACUUCAUUACGUUCAGCAAGGCAAAAAAUAGAAGACAAUAAAGUUGAAUUUACUAAGCGUCUGGACGAACAAAGAUCAAUGUAUGAAAAGCAGAUUCUUAGUUAUAAAGAAUCGUUUGAAUUUGAAAAAUGUCAAUUGAAACAGCAAUAUGAUGAGCAGAGGUCAAACCUUCUUAAGCAAAUAGAAAAUCAAUCAAAUCAUCAAGAACAAUUUUUGAAAUCAUGGAAAGAAGAAGAAAGCAAGUACAAAGAUCAAAAUGAUAAACACCAAAAGACUAUUGAAGAAAUGGAAUCUCAAGUUAGAAGUUUGCGUGUGGAGGUAAUACAAGCAAAUACUUUAAGGAAAGAGCAGAUUGUUGAAAUAGGAUUGCUAAGAAAAGAAGAGCAAGAAGCUGCUCGGCGAAAUGAGGAGGCCUUACAUUCCAAGUACAAAAAUGAAAUAGAUGAAAUAAAUCUACGAUUACAAAAAGAACACAGUAUACAAUUAAAUUUGUUCACAAAAAAGAUGAAUGAGCAACUCAAAAACAUAGAGAAUGAAUAUUCAAAAAAAACUGCAGAGGAUCAUAAUAAAAUUGCAUCUUUAAGAGAGGAACUUUCUGCUGCUAACAAGUAUAUAAAAAAGUCGGUGAGUAUGAAAAACAGCUGCAAGAAUGUAUGGAAAUGGUUUCAGAUGAAAGAAAAAAGUUUUCAGAAUAUCAAAAUCAAAAUUUAUUAAAGAGAGAGGAGAUGGAAGAACAUUAUCAAAAUAUGUUAAUGAAAUCUGAUGAAAAUUUAUUUUGUUGUCGCCAAGAGUAUGAAAAUAAGUUAAAGGGAAUGUUAGCUUCAUCUGUCCAGCAAGAUUUAGAAGAUACCAUUUCAGCUCUCCGCGAGCAACUUCAAAUAAUGCAAGCUCGUAUCGAUAUUUUACAAGC
rnacentral:misc_RNA from 1 species